UGCAUUAGUGUACACGAAUAUGACGCAUUGCAUCUAUCCUUGUACUUGGCAUGGCUCCUUGUACAUUGCUUCUAUGAGAUGGCACGGACUUCGUGAGGAUUCAUUAGCCCUCAGAGGAAAGACCUGGAACAGCCCUACGGGGACCAGGCACAAAGACCUGGAACAGCCCUACGGGGACCAGGCACAAAGACCUGGAACAGCCCUACGGGGACCAGGCACGUGGUACUCCGGUACCCCUGUGAGCUCCUUUGUGGGCUAGAUAGAGAUAGAGGGANNNNN
rnacentral:lncRNA from 1 species